UUCGGGAGGCAGCAGUAAGGGAUAUUGGUCAAUGGGGGGAACCCUGAACCAGCCAUGCCGCGUGAGGGAAUAAGGCCCUACGGGUCGUAAACCUCUUUUGCCGGGGGAUAAGGACGCCCACGUGUGGGUGUUUGAAGGUACCCGGAGAAUAAGCAUCGGCUAACUCCGUGCCAGCAGCCGCGGUAAU
rnacentral:rRNA from 1 species